rnacentral:rRNA from 1 species
UACGUAGGGGGCAAGCGUUGUCCGGAUUUAUUGGGCGUAAAGAGCGUGUAGGCGGCCAGGUAGGUCUGCUGUGAAAACUCGAGGCUUAACCUCGAGAUGUCGGCGGAAACCAUCUGGCUAGAGUCCGGAAGAGGAGAGCGGAAUUCCUGGUGUAGCGGUGAAAUGCGCAGAUAUCAGGAGGAAUACCAGUGGCGAAGGCGGCCUGCUGGGCCACGACCGACACUGAGGUGCGAAAGCGUGGGGAGCGAACCGG